AUCUACGUUUGGUACUUUGUCUAGUUGUCCUUGUAUUCCGAAGCUCCUAGAUACUUAAGACGAGUUCUAGAUAGUGCUGGACAAAAGUAUGGGAGGAUCACAUGCCAACAGUUGCGCGGCAGUAUUUCCGAAACCGCAUGAGCAAAAAUCAUGCGAGUUUUCCUAAGAGGCUCUUACACAUCAUCUUGGCGGCUCUGCAUUUAUAGUACUUUUUAUAUAUAUUUAUUCUCGGAAAUUUUAUUGCAUAUCGAUUUUAGUGACUACGGAAACUUUUGGCAAUCUUAUCAGCUGUUUCGUUUCCCGGAAUUCCUUUGUGGUCUGGAACCCAGUAUAUAUGACAUUCUCUGACGUAACGCAAUAGAGAUUAUUCAUCUUUUUUAUAUGGUUUCUGGAAACUUGAAAGGUUGCCUGAGAUCCAGCUUCGAGCAAUAGAUGCCACUUCAUUAGCCAUUUAGCCGGUAUAGAUGUUGCGAAUUCCGCUGAUGAGUCGGAUGCUCCUGCGCCAUCGACUCACCUUUACUGUGACUUAGCACCUACUCUCCCAAGUGUGGGUAUGUGAUAUAAUUUGUCCAACAACCGGCUGCUUAUUGAUCUAUGCCCGAAGGUCCUUAUAGAAAAUUCACCUAAUACCGUCAAUCUUGCAGCUGAUUUUACCGCAGAGCAUUGUCGAUUGGUGGUAGUGUUAGUGCUCCCGUUAUGCGUUACAUCGGUUUCCUCUAUGAGACUUUUCUGGUUCCACCACACCAGUGCAUUGUAAAGUAAAAUUGGCUUGACUAACUCUGUGUAACACCAAUGCUUGAGGCCAGGUGAUAGACCCUAGGUGGGCCCGAGCUUCUUCUUACAUGCGUAUAGAGCAGCACUGGCCUUUUUACUCUCCUCAGAUUGUACUUCCUCAUCAGCUUGAUCUCCAAUUUAGUCCCAGCUACUAAGUAUGCUCCUUUAUUAUUAAUUUAUUAUAGCAUAUAGCCGCCAAACAAACUGAACGAUCAAAAUCAAGUACUUGUAAGGAAAAUUUUUAAUUUCACAAGAUAUUUUUACGAAAUUUGACAUGGUUUAUUGUCUAAGGAAAUCUCCGAAAAAAUUGUAGAAAUUGCAUCACUAUAACAUAUAGCUGCCGUACAAACUGAACGAUCAAAAUCAAGUACUUUUAAGGAAAACUUUUUUACUUGACAAAUUAUCUUCACAAAUUUGUCAAGACAAAGGUACAACCACCAAUCAAAUUCAAGUAUUGAAUAU